rnacentral:lncRNA from 1 species
CCUUUGGAAACAGUACCCAAAGGGCAUCUAUCAGUGGAGAGGUGGCUCAGCCCCACUUUCAUCUUAUCUUCCUGCUUUUGCUCCUGCUGUCUCACCUGUCUCGAACACAUUUUAUUGGUUUGGUGAACUGCAAUAUGUGCGUCGAGCCCAAGAUGCUGUGCCUGCCAGAGGAAUCCAUCCUAUGCCCAGCCCGAGUUAACCUGACUCCCUUAAUAUCCCAGCCACGCACUCUGUGGAGGCUCAGGAGAGAUUGUCUUGAUGUGUGACCCCAUAACAAUGCCCUGACUUCUCUGCAGAAAGGACGUCUCCUGCAGGCCCCAGUCCUCGUGGGAGCAUCUUCCUCCUCUCUUGCCUCUGCUUCUCAGUUCUGCAGAGGAACAUGUAAAGUGACACCACGAUGAAACAAUGUGCAAAAUAUAUCAUAUAGGACUUUCUAAGACCAGUAAUUCAGUUUUUCAAAAGAAGAAGAAAUGACAUGAAUAAUGGAGAAUGUAGGAUUGUUGGGAAAUAAAAGUCUAAAGACAUAACUAAAUUAACAUGUGUACUCUGUUUGGAUUCUGAUUUGAAAAAGUCAUUUUUGAGGAAAUCACAAUAUUUGACUAUCUGAGGAAAUAUUAAGGCAUUUAAAUUUGUUUGUUAGAUGUGCUAGAGGCAUGAU